rnacentral:rRNA from 1 species
CCUACGGGAGGCAGCAGUGAGGAAUAUUGGUCAAUGGACGCAAGUCUGAACCAGCCAUGCCGCGUGCAGGAAGACGGCUCUAUGAGUUGUAAACUGCUUUUGUACGAGGGUAAACGCAGAUACGCGUAUCUGUCUGAAAGUAUCGUACGAAUAAGGAUCGGCUAAUUCCGUGCCAGCAGCCGCGGUAAUACGGAGGAUUCAAGCGUUAUCCGGAUUUAUUGGGUUUAAAGGGUGCGUAGGCGGUCGGAUAAGUUAGAGGUGAAAUCCCGAGGCUCAACUUCGGAAUUGCCUCUGAUACUGUGCGGCUAGAGAGUAGCUGCGGUAGGCGGAAUGUAUGGUGUAGCGGUGAAAUGCUUAGAGAUCAUACAGAACACCGAUUGCGAAGGCAGCUUACCAAGCUACUUCUGACGUUGAGGCACGAAAGCGUGGGGAGCAAACAGGAUUAGAUACCCCAGUAGUC